ACCACACCCAUGGGACUUAUGGUGCUCCCCCACUCAGGCCCACUUCCCGUCUUCCAGGACCCAGACUAACCCCGACAGUCACUCCUCAGGGAACAGUGAGAAGCGCCAAUGCUAGAAGGUCAUUUGGGGUGAUAAUUAGGACAAUCAUUAAUUUCUGCGGCCAAAGAGUGACUCAUUUAUCUCUGAUGUGUACAGAUCAAAGGAGAGCAUUUAUGGCUUUGACACAAGCCUUCCAUUCUUUCCCUUGCCGCGAUAAAUAACAUAAAGCCGUCACUCUGCUGCCUGUCUCUGCCCCAACUGUCUCUGUACCGAAAUGAACACCCUCCUCUCUGCUCUCUUCCUUCUCCAAAAAGGUCAAGGUACUCGCUGCUGGCUCAUAGCGUCUGGGCUGCCACCGUGCCAUGCAGGGAGUGCCUCAAAUGCCCGAGUCCCCAGACAAGGGACAGGUGGUCUAGGAUGGGCUCUGAGCGAGCUCUUCCUGAGAACUUGCCAUGUGGGUUGAGAACGUCUCUCAGUACUUGGGUGAGCUAGAAACCUGGCUGCCAUUUAAGAGCUUUGGACCUCGAGAGAACUGCCAAGCCUCCACUUCCCAGUCUAUCAAAUAUGGAUAAUAAUAGCACAGAGCCUGACUAAUGAGAAUGACAAGAUACAAUAUGCGAAGUGCUCGGCACCAAGCCUGUUACAAAACAAUGCCAGCGAGCUCUGCCCCUGCCUCGACGUUCUUGUGUCCUUUCCGAGAACUCGUGCGGCCUGGCCUCUUCCCUGAGAGGUGCACCCCCACCCCACCCCCACCAAAUAUUCAAGACUGACACUGUUACAGGAGCCAAAUGGCUGGGAAGAGGCUGGGAGUGGGCCCAGCUCAGCUGCUCACCCCUGCACGCUUCAGACCAGGUCGUACCUGCUGGUGAGGCAAUGUCCAGUGCAUUUAAGAAUGAGUUAAGAAGCCGCAUCUCUGGCUUCUAUUCCCUACGUGCCAAUAGUAGCCUUCUAGCUGUCACCAUCCAAGCGUCUCUGAGGCGUCUCUGCGGCGUCUCUGCAGCGGGCCACGGUGACCGCAGAGACUCGGCUGUACUGAGAAUCGGUGACUGUAGAAUGCUCAGCCCCAACUGGGGCAGCUCUAUCACCCACUCCAAGGCUCAGGGACCACUGCAGAGGGGGGUGGAGAGUGUGUAAGGUCUGAGAGGAAUGCUGUGAAAAGCUGCUCUCUGGACAUGAGGCGCCUGCUCUCCCCAUGAGCUCAGGGAAGCUGUCGCUUUUCCUCCACGAGACCAAACCGCUGACCUUCCAGCAUGAAUGGGGGUGACCCUGAGAAGCCCCACCCUUUUGGAGGACAGAAAAUCGUGGUCCCCAGCGGUGUGACCACUGGUGAGUUCCUCCCAUCCUCAGCUUUGGGGAUUAGAAGGAACUUGUUCAAUAGAUCACACUGGCCUUGAACACCCGCCUCUGCCUCCUGAGGGCCAGGGCUAACGGUGUGCCGCCUCGGCUGGCUCUGCUUCCAGUCUUAACUAUCCAGAUCGGCUCUCCGGUCACACAGUUACACCACUUAGUAAUGCAGUUUUCCCGAAUUAGUAAUGUGUUUCCGAAUGGCCACAAAAGGGUUAAAGAGGUUGCGGUGUUCAAAGCUGCCUCAGAUGCAGAGACUUAGAUAUCAACACGCACACAGUUGCAGAGCCAAGCCUCAGGCCCUUCACACGACCGGCAGGACCUUCCGGGGAGGUGCAGGGCACCGGUCCAGAUGGACAGUCAUCCAAGAGGCCCGACCGAGCACCAGGGAAAGCGAAGAGCUGACCAUGGGGACCGCCGAGAGUUCUCUCGGACCUUUGCUGUGCUGUGGUUGGAUGACAGCUCCCUGGGGCUCUCCCUAUCUCUAUCAUGGGGGGAAGGGCCUUUCUUCUCAUGGGGUUCAAGUAUGUCUUGUUUACUGCUGUGAUAAGACACUAUGACCAAGGCAGCCUAUAGAAGAAAGAGUUUAUUUGGGGCUACACGGAGAGUCUGUGGCCUGACCUCAGGGAGCGUGGCUGCAGGCAAGCGGGCAUACUGCUGGGGCAGUGGCUGGGAGCUCACAUCUUGAGACACAGCCACAAGACAGAGAGUGCUAACUGGGGCAUCUCAAAACCCAGUGACAAACCUCCUUCCACAGGGCCACACCUCCUAAUCCUUCCCAAACAGUUCCACUAACGGGGACCAAGUGUUUAAAUAUAUGAACUAUGUGGGCCAUUCUCAUUCAGACCACAGUGGGGCUGUUGCCUCUUCCGGUAUGUUCACUAAGUUUUGAGGCCUGCAUUUCCCGAUAUGGUCUUAAUAUACUCAUGUGUCUGUAUGUUCCCAGUGUGCUUCGAGGAGCUGAUAGGUGGCCCCCUUUUGUUUGUAGGAGUGAAUUAUUGGUCGGUUCUGGCAUUUAUGUGCACAAGUGAGGUGCAGAUGUGCUCUGCCUCUAACUUUGCACUCAGAAUGAAGCUAGCUGCUGCUUAGUAAAAUAAAGUCACUUAAGCAAGGCACGCACUCAAGGCUUCAUACAACAUGAAUCAAGAGCCACCUGGUCUGCAGGAAGGAGUCGACGGACACUCAGGGUCCAUCCAGACGGUGGCCUGGAAGCUGAGUCCCUGAGCUCUUCCCUCGGAACUGUUCCACUCCGCUCCGGCGCCCGAACCGGAGAUCUGAGAUACGGGGAAGCAGUGAAGGACACCACGGUGUUGGCAAGCUCAGAUCAUAAACUAAAGAGAAAGAGGCACAGAUGCAGAAGGAGCCCGGUGGAUCCCAGAAAGGUUGGUGUGAUUUGUGGGAGGUGUUUCCCAGAAGAAGGAUGCUCCUGCUGCUGACGAUAAUGAAUUCUGUCCUGAUGGUGAACGGAGAGCUGUGUUGGGCUUAUGCACCUGACUCACCUAUGUUGCAUUCUACUCCUGGGAGAAGAUGUUGUGCAGAGAAACCUUUUAGGCUUGAUUGGUGUGGUAAUCAGGACAAUUCUCAACAAAGUCGGGAAGACUGGGAAAGAGGACUGACUGUGGGACUUUGGUCUGAUUCUGGUUUUCAGCAGACCUACAUUUAGAAGCUUGCUGCAGAAACUCUCAGGAGGCCCUGUAACUGCCUGUGUAAUACCUCCUAAUGCUUUGUUGUUUGGCUUGUUAACAUUUUUAUACAAGAUCCAACCUUUAAUGUUUCUUGUCAUCAAUGUAAACUAACAAACUGUAUUUCUAAGCUCUGCUUGUUCUACAGCCUUCCUUUAUUAUAGUUCCUGUGAGUGUUUCUCAGGCUUGGUGUUCUGAUAAGGGAUUAUAAGUGCUAGAAGCAGACCUAAAAGAAUGGUUGGGUUAAUUAUUACAGCUAUUAUAGCCCUCCUGGUCAUCUUUUACGUCACUUUUAUGGAGUGUUAUAGGACUUGGCUUAUUACUCUUAUUAGAAUCAUGUCUCCUGCCAGUGGUAAUUAAAACCUUCAUCAAGGCCUUCUGGAAUGUUAAAGCUGAUCUGCAUAAGAUUAAACUCCAGCAUCUACCCUAUCAGAGGUUGGUAGUCAAAGUAGGUAAGAACUCUCUGAGGAAUAUUCAACCUAAGACAGGGCACAAGUGAUGGAAUUCAUGUACCAAUGAUAGGUAAGAAUAUUUCAAGAGAGACAACCUAGGACAGGCCCAAUCUUCUGCUCCAUAGCUCUUAUGAUAUGGUCUUUCAAAACUUUAAAAAGGGAGACCAGUGGAGAGCUACUUGUUUGUCAAUCUGCUUUGUUAUUGAGUAUUCAGCAGGAAACAUGUUUUCGCCCUGGCCUUCACCCUGAGUCAGAGAUAUUUCACCUCGAGACAGGAGGAUGUUUCACCAAGUUCCUUAAAACUUGUUUGUGUGACCUUGGACCAUAUCUGCUAUAGUUUUAGAAAACAAUUUUGGCAGUUCCACGAACUUCUUUCCUGUAUUGAUGUGACUUGUUUUUGCUUUGCCUGUAUAAAGGAAUUGUGGAAUAAACUCCCUCAGCAGUCUUGCUGACAGCCCU